GAGGGGGGGGGCUGUGGGCACGGCCCCCAGGUAGGCCUAUCAGAGCAUCAGGGGGAGCACUGAUUUGCUCACAAACAGAAACAGCAACAACAAACUGACCCAAAGAUGACUCUGAUAGGCCACCUGGGUGUCGUGCAUCCCCGGGUGGGAAUCACUGGUGGAGGGGGGAGAAAGGAGAUGGGGCAGAGAUGGGAGGGUGAGCACCUGACACCUGUGAGUCAGGGUAGGUGGAGGCAUCAGAGAUAUGACUGUCAAUCAUGGGAGGAAAGGCCCAUCAGACCAAGGAAAUGGAUGAAGCAGAGAGGCACCUGGGAGGAUGGAGGCUGAGUGGGGGUUUUCUGCCAAGGGCAGGGACAGCAGCACCAACAGUGUGGUUCCAGCUAAGGACUGAGGUGGAAGAGUGAGGCUGAGAGGGGUGGGUGGCACACAGGAGGACGAUGUGUGGGUGUGGGCAGAAAGGAGCAGCCUGGUAGCACACAGGGAAGGAAGUGGCAGAGGGGAGUGGAGCCAGCACUGAAGGUGAGCUCAUGGAGCAGAUGAGUAUUGAGGAGGGAGGAGGAGGAGAGGUGGUGGAUGGAUGGUAGUGUCUAGGAAGAGACAGUUGUCAGGGGUAGGCAAGUCAGGUUGAGAGUGGGAGAAUGUGUUGCAGGUAUGUGGGGCAGGAGUGAGGGCAGAAGAAAAAAGUAUGUUGUGCAAACUGUGGCAGGUGAAAUAAGAAUAUGGUUCCCAAGAGAUUUUUCAGUAGGAUCUGAAAGAAAGAAUAUGAAGGGAACAUGAAGAUUACCGGGAGCUUAGGUGGGAGGAGCUGGAAAGAACCCAGACUAGAGCCACAGGGACAUCACCAUUUGUAUGUGGAUUUGCUAUUCUGUCUUGACACAAAGAUGCUAAAAUAUGGUUGAAUAGUGGGUAUGGGUGGAGGCUAAGAAAGGAAUAGUCCUGAGAGUUCUAUAGAAUCAGUUGGGCAAUUGAGAAAUAUUAGCUGAAAGAAUGCAGAUGGGGAAGUUAUGACAGUACUUUGCUAGGCAGUACAAAGGAAAGCAGGAAAAAGGAUCAGUUAGGUUCAAAUGAGAGGAGAUGAGGAAUUUACAGACCAUAGGGGGCAUGACAUAAGAGAGGCAAUAUGAUGUGCUGGCCAAGAAGAAUGAGAAAGAACAGAAGGUAAAGUCUUAUCAGAUGCUGUGAAAGAGGGCUGUUGGGAACAUCAGGGAAGGGACUGCACCUACAGAAACAAGGCUAAGAAGGAGAGGGUGUGAACAUUAAGAAUCUAGAAACUCUUCUCUCAAACUUUGGCAAAUUACCUGAUAAACCCAUGAGUGAGAAAAAAACAUGACAUAAGUAAGACAAGUGAGGAUGCAAGAGAGAUGAGAGGAGGCCAAAGGAGAGUGAAUCAGCACAAGUAGUGGCCCCUUAGAAAUAUCGUGGACCAAUGUUCAAUGAAGGGCAUAUUGACAUAAUGAAAGGCUAGGGAACAACUCCAAGAGGGGUAUUAAAUGUUUCCAGCAUGUAAAUUUUUAGGGGAAAACAGAUUUAAUAGAGUAUGGUGGGGACAAAGCAGCUGGCAAUGGUGACCACAGUGAGCAAAAGUCAGGAAGGAAGCAAAUGCAGAGGGAAAGAACCUUGAGCCCAUGGACUAACUUGGAUGUAGGAAAGUACAAUUGGACAGUAGAGAGGAAGUAGAGGGUCUCUGGAAGACAACAGAAUUGCUUGGCAAGUGGUAAAUCCACAUCUAGGGUAGAAAGUAAGAAACAGCAAUUGGGCUGCCAUAAGAAGGUGGUAUGAUGGACUUGAGAAAUUAGUGGAGGGAAAGAAAAAAAAAAAGGAACAGGAGAUGGUCUGGACAGGAGAAGACCACUUCAUUAGAAAUGGUCAGUGUGGUAUAGGUGCCAAUAUGGAAAAGGAGAAAGUAGAAUGCAGAGUUUGCAAACUGAGGACAUCAGCAGAUUCCAUGAAGCAAGUUGUUGAGAUGGGGCUAUUAAUGUCCAUCUUAUAGGCAGAGCAAAGCAGAGCAAAGAAAUCAAAAGUCCAGGUAUUUACAGAUCCGGGCCCUUUAGGGAAAGAGGGUUAAUGGGGAAACUAGGCAGUGCUGCACUUUAAGUGACAUCUACAUAGAUGGCAGUAUAGGGUAUUGUAGGGACAUGGGGUAGACUCAGGCAGAGUAAGUUCAAUACAUGAGAGAAAGAUGCUUGCAAAUGGUAGAGGAGCAGUUGGGAACCAGUGCGAAACAGGCAGUUUGCACUGACCACUAAACAUGUUCUUCCACUGUUCAAGGGUGACUGAAAGGGAGUGUCUGGCAGACAGACCCAUAGGGGGAUCUGCUUGGUGAAGGGGUAUUAUAGUUUUGAUGCAAGAAGGUGGCGAAAGAGCCAACUAUUACUGCAGAAUCAAGCAAUGGAUGUGGGGAAUAUGUGGAUUGGGGCUUGGCUUCUUUUUUGGAAGUUAUGGUUCAGAGGAGAAAAGAGGAAGGAAGUGGUUGGAGAGUGGGCCCUAUGUAAGAAGACAAUGUUAAACACUGAACGCAAGUGCUUUGAAAUUAAUGACAGUAACAAAGGAUGAAGAAAUGGGAGAUCUGCACUGAAGAGACAGGUGGCGUCCAGGGCAAUGGGCAGGGGUGCACUUCGCUUCAUGAGCCCUCCUGGUGGCAAACAGAAGUGACAAAGGAGAGGAAAGGAUGCAGAGCAGUAAGUUAAGGACUGGCUGUAGUUUUGAGGGAACCAGCAAAACCCUAAUGGAACAGGAAGAGAAAAGAAUAAAAGGUUGGAUUGGAAAAGGCAACCUAGGGAAAGGCUAGGUCAAAAUCAAUGAAAGAUAUAGAUAGUGACAGCUGAUAGUUCUAGAAAAUCAGAGGAAUAUGGAAAAGAAGAAAGAGACUGAGCAGUGAGGGUGGGUUCAAGAGAGCAGUCCCUUACUGGGUGUGUGUGUGGGGGCAGGCAUGAAUCUGAUGAUGUAGAAGACACUAGGUCACUAGAUAAGUAUAGGUCAGAGAUGAGGCAAGAAGUCUGCCCUUGGCCAGGAAGACAAAGAAAAGAGAGGAGGGCUGGUGUUGUGGCUCAGCGGUAGAGCGCUUGCCUAGCAUGUGUAAGGCACUGGGUUCAAUCUUCAGCACUAUAUAAAAAUAAACUAAAGAUAUUCUGUUACCUAUAACUAAAUAAAAAAAAAAGGGAAUCACAAGUAAAAAAAGCAAAAAGUGUGGCUAUAGGAGGAUGCAGAGCACAGGAGUCACCUAAGGGAGGGAGACAGGUAGCAGAAAGACCAGGGAGGAUGGAAAACAGAGAGCAAGAUGGAAGUGACAGGUUGGUCAGCAACAUGGGGAGCAAGAGGGAGAAGGGAGUGAUACCAGAAUCAGAAUGAAGGUCCUUAGAGGGCUCCAAAUUUUGUGUCAGGCUCCUUAUUAAAGAUCUGGCAGGGAAGGGUGGGUCAUAAGGAUGGAACUUGGAACAGGAACUAGCUUGGGGUUGACUAGUUGGAUGGGAGGAUAGGGUUGAGGAGUAAUGGAGUUCAGGAUGGGGACACGAACCUAGCUCCAGACAUUGAGAAGACAUCUCACUGACUGAACUGGUGAAUUAUUCCAUGUUGUGUUAAGUAACAACUAGAGACUGGAAAGANAGGGAGGGUGGAAGGGAGGGGAAGGGGCUGGUUUGUAGGGAAGGUGGAGGGACCAGAAGAUCAAAGUGGUAUGUGGAGGAGCACUUGUCCAGGAACCUUAAGUGAAAGGAGUGAUUAAGAGAAGGGCAAUAGUAUUCUCCCAGAGGACCACAUUUGGGUCAAACAUACUGAUAGCUGCAUUGUAGUCUCAUGGGUUUUGCGGUUCAGGAGGGCUGGGGUGAGGUAGGGCCUUCAAGAGAACAGUUCUCUCAUACACACUGGGAUGGGUCAGAUCCUAGAUCAGGAAGGGGAAUGAGUAGACAGGGAGGGGAAUGGGGUGGAUCCCAGUGGAGAGUGCCAGGUCUAAAUCAGAGGGGGAAGUGCUGAGAUCCUUGAGGGAGGACCUCCAAUGGUCACCACUGGAGGAAGGCUGGAGGUAGGAGAUGGGAGAGUGAAGUCCAGAGAGUACAGGUGACGUCCACACCAGUGAUUCUUAACCGGGGGUGGGGGGGGUGGAUUCCACCCGAGGGGGGGCUGUGGGCACGGCCCCCAGGUAGGCCUAUCAGAGCAUCAGGGGGAGCACUGAUUUGCUCACAAACAGAAACAGCAACAACAAACUGACCCAAAGAUGACUCUGAUAGGCCACCUGGGUGUCGUGCAUCCCCGGGUGGGAAUCACUGGUGGAGUGGGGAGAAAGGAGAUGGGGCAGAGAUGGGAGGGUGAGCACCUGACACCUGUGAGUCAGGGUAGGUGGAGGCAUCAGAGAUAUGACUGUCAAUCAUGGGAGGAAAGGCCCAUCAGACCAAGGAAAUGGAUGAAGCAGAGGGGCACCUGGGAGGAUGAAGGGCAGGGACAGCAGCACCAACAGUGUGGUUCCAGCUGAGGACUGAGGUGGAAGUGAGGCUGAGAGGGGUGGGUGGCACACAGGAGGACGAUGUGUGGGUGUGGGCAGAGAGGAGCAGGCUGGUAGCACACAGGAAAGGAAGGGGCAGAGGGGAGUGGAACCAGCACUGAAGGUGAGCUCAUGGAGGAGCUGAUUGCCGAUGAAGGAACAGAAAGUGCAGAGGCGAUGGGUGGGAUGAGUGUCUAGGAAGAGAGAGUUGUAAGGUCCACUGGCAAGUCAGGUUGAGAGUGGGUGAAUUUGUUGGUAUGUUAUGGGCAUGUAUGGAGCAGGAAGAGGGCCGAGGACAAAAGCCAUGUGGGGACAAGAAUGGUAGGCGAAUCAGGGCACAAAUCCCCACCAUGUUUUUAGAAUUUGUUUUCUGAAUGGACACUAGAAAGGUUACAGGAACUAUGAUUGCGAUGAGUCAGAAUGAACCCAUGGCUUGGGGCCACAGGGACAUAAGUGUACGCUUGCUGGGUAGAGCACACAAAUUUGGUAUAGUUUAUGUGAUGUAAAUAUGACUGAAUGUGGUGGAGCAGGGGCCUGUGGACAGGUCAAGAUAGGAGUACACAUAAGAGGACAACACAAUCUCUCAGAUGAAAGAAUGACUGUACCUCACUAUGCAGUAGAGACAAAUGAAUAGAAAGCCUCAGCUGGGCCCAGAGGAGAGAAGUAAGGAAUUUGUAACACAUGGCAGAGCAUGACAGAUGUGGGUCCACCAGGCAAGAAUGAGACAGAGCCAAAGAAGGAGUCCAGAAGAUGGAAGAAGAGUGGGCUACUGAGAAAAUAGGAAAGGCACUGCACAAUGGAAGGACAGAACAUGCAGAAUCCAGGAACUGUAUUCUCAAAAGGAGACAGUGUUCAUGAUGUUUCCUAAGGAGAAAAAGUAUGGCAUGGGUAAGACAAAUGAGGGGCAAAGGAGAGGUGUGAGGAGGCCAAAGGAGAAUGAGGCUGAAGGGACCAUGGGCACCUAGGAAAUGUGGACCAUGUGAUAAUGAAGGGCUUGGUGAGAGGCUGAAAGGUUAAUGGAUGGAUUUGUGACACAAAACAAUGAUAUCUAAUAUGGCAGAACUGAAAUGGUAGGAUUAUCAGGGGUGAAUUCAGAUAACAGAUGGACUUGGGAGAGUUGACUAGGAACAAAAGGCUGGCAAUGGUAGCAGGAAUUCAGGAAGGGGGCAAACUCAGAGGAAAAGACCCCUGAGUUCAUGGACUGAUUAGGAGGUGGCAGGGAAGGUACAAUUGGACGUUAUGAGAAAGCACAGGGUCUCUGGGAGAAAAUGCAGAAUAUGGGUUGUGUCAGUACAAAUCUACAUCCAGUAAAGAAGGCAAGACUUGGGGUCUGGCAUCCAUCAAAAGGCACAUAUAAGACCUGACUUUGUUCAAAUGGGUUAACAUGAAAAAUGGAGAGGAGGUGAGUACAACGAGAGAAACCUCAGGAGUUUUUCGGGUACUCUUCAUUGGUCACCGAUCCAAUGUGUAAGAGGGGACAGAGAAAUGCAGAGCUUCCAAACAGAUUUGUUGUAAUAUAGGGCAAAAAUGUGCCUUGUAGGGUAUCUAGACCAGACUUCAGGAACAGGACAGCCAAGAGAAACAAAAGCCUGGGCAUUUGCAGAAUGAGGCCCUUUGGAGGAAGGUCAAGAUAGGAGUACACAUAAGAGGACUACACAAUCUGUCAGAUGAAAGAAUGACUGUACCUCACUAUGCAGUAGAGACAAAUGAAUAGAAAGCCUCAGCUGGGCCCAGAGGAGAGAAGUAAGGAAUUUGUAACACAUGGCAGAGCAUGACAGAUGGAGGUCCACCAGGCAAGAAUGAGAAAGAGCCAAAGAAGGAGUCCAGAAGAUGGAAGAAGAGUAGGCUAUUGAGAGAAUAGGAAAGGCACUGCACAACGGAAGGACAGAACAUGGAGAAUCCAGGAAGGGUGAGUGUGACUUGGGUUCAACAGAGGAAGUUGGACAGUGUUGCGCACUGGGAUGGCUCCUUUACAGACAACACUGGCAGGUAACAGCAUGGACUCAUGUAGACUGAAUCUAGUUUGUGGAAAGGAAAAGACCUGAAGUGGCAGCAAAGUGGGAAGGAACAAAUGCAGAGAAGAUGUUUUGUCAUCAUCAGUAAGUCUGUGCUUCCACAGUUCCAGGUUGAUGAAAGAAUGGAGAUUUAGUGGGCACAUAUCUUUGCAGUAUACUACAGUAGCUGAGCAGGGGGUGAGGGUGAGAGAGAUGGUGAACUGUGGAAGUGCAGAAUUAGAGGAAGAAAUUUAGAGAAGCAGAUAUUUGACACAGUUGGAGAGAACACGGCCAGGUGAGGGUAUGUUAGCAGUAUGAAUUCUUCCUUUUUGGGUGGCUUGAUCAGAUGAUGAGAGAAGUUGACCGGCACUAAGGAUGGAGAAUGGUCCCUUUAGAAGAAGAUGGUCUUAAUAUCUGAAUAUGGCUCUUGUGUAGACAGUGUUGAAAAGAGAGAAAAUGGAAAGAGACAGAUCUGGACAGCCUCAAAUGGUAGAUAGAGAGCAACACUGAUGGGCAGGGGUGCAUUUCUUUGGUGGGGUCUAUGGUGGGAAAUGGAAGGGAUGGGGGCAAGGAAAGGAUGAAGAGAAUGAAAUGCCAGGAUGCCUGUAGAGUUUGUAGAGUUUUGUGAGAACUAACUUGUUGUAACAGGAAGAGAGAUGAGGAAGAAAUGUGGGAGUGGAAUGGAUAAGGAAAAGACAGCCUAGAAAAGUAAAGUGAAGGCCAGAAUGAUGGCAAUUACAAAUUAGUGACAGCCAACUGUUCCAUGAGAGAAAAUGAGAGAGAGGUUGGAAAGAAUUGCAAUUGUGAGAGUAGGUAAAAGAAGUGUGCACACAACUGUACAGAAAUGGGACCACCUCAAAGUGACAGGCACAGGGUACUUGAGAAAAAUAUGGGCAUAGUGAAGAAGGAAAACUGCCUUUAUCAAGGAUGCAAAAAGAAGAAAUGGGUAUGACAUAUACAACUGGUAAGCAACUGUGGGACUAUAGGACAAUAAUGCAUUGCAGGAGGAGAUAUACCCCACGGAAAGUAGGGUGGAAAAAGCAGAGAGUGGAGGAUGGAGCCCAGAAAGCAGGGUGGAAGUGAGACAAUACAGAGAGCAACAGGAGGAGUAAGGAGAAGAGGGUGGUUCCACAGUUGGAAAGAAGGCAAAAGUACUCAAGCAAGUCUCAGUUUGGGGAGGCAAACGCAGAAAAAGGGUACAUAACACAGGAAGAAAGGAACAUGGGCUGUAAAGCCCUCAACAUUAGGGAAGGAUGUAAAUCAUGGCCCAUGCUCUUUAUUGAAUGUUUGAGCCAGGUUUUUAUUAUGAGUCUGAAAAGGGAGAGAGAGAGCUGAGGUGGAUUUCUGGUUUGGAUCAGGGUUGAUAAGGCAGGGUUAGUAAGCAGAGGGGUUUGGAAUUGGGGGGGGGGCAUGGUGGUAGGUGGGUAUGGCAGAAGGAGAUGAGACAAGUUGUAGAAAAUUAGAAAACAAUCUUCUUGGAGUGUGGCCGUAGAGGAUUCCGCCAGUCAGUGCUGAGGGAAAUAAAUACAGUCAGGAAAAAGACAAGUGUUUCCAUGGAAAAAAGUAAGAGAGUAACUUCAGGUAAAAUGCAAGGAAAUGCAAAGGUAAGUAGGAGGUUUUGAAGACAAAGGGAUAAGCUCUGGAGGAGCACCCCAUCUCUCACUGGAAAGAGAUAAAGGAAAAGAGAUAAUAGUAAAAUCUUAGAAGGCCAAGACAGGGAUCAAAGAUUGAUCAGGAAUUCAGGGAAACAUAUCCAGAUGGCAAGGCAUUAAAAGUAGAAGAUAGGCUUUUAAAAGAACAACACUGAUGGAGACAGGAGACAGGCCAGGUCCUAGAUCAGAGAGUAAACAGGGAGGGAAAAUGGGGUGAAUCCAAGAGGAAAGUGCCAGAUCUAAAUCAGAGGGGGAAGUGCUGAGAUCCUAAAGUGAGGACCUCCAAUGGUCACCACUGGAG
rnacentral:lncRNA from 1 species